AACGAACGCUGGCGGCAGGCCUGACACAUGCAAGUCAAGCGCACCUUCGGGUGAGCGGCGGACGGGUUAGUAACGCGUGGGAAUAUACCCUUCUCUAAGGAAUAGCCUCUGGAAACGGAGAGUAAUACCUUAUACGCCCUUCGGGGGAAAGAUUUAUCGGAGAAGGAUUAGCCCUCGUAAGAUUAGAUAGUUGGUGGGGUAAUGGCCUACCAAGUCUACGAUCUUUAGCUGGUUUGAGAGGAUGAUCAGCAACACUGGGACUGAGACACGGCCCAG
rnacentral:rRNA from 1 species